GGGGGUGUAGCUCAGUGGUAGAGCGCGUGCUUACUCAGCAUGCACGAGGUCCCAGGUUCAAACCCGGGCACUUCCA